UACAGAGGAUGCAAGCGUUAUCCGGAAUGAUUGGGCGUAAAGCGUCUGUAGGUGGCUUUUAAGUCCGCCGUCAAAUCCCAGGGCUCAACUCUGGACAGGCGGUGGAAACUACCAAGCUGGAGUACGGUAGGGGCAGGCGGAAUUCCGGGUGUAGCGGUGGAAUGCGUAGAGAUCCGGAAGAACACCGGUGGCGAAGGCGGCCUGCUGGGCAGUUGCUGACACUGAGGCGCGACAGCGUGGGGAGCAAACAGG
rnacentral:rRNA from 1 species